rnacentral:rRNA from 1 species
AUUGAACGCUGGCGGCAGGCUUAACACAUGCAAGUCGAGCGAGCGGCGGACGGGUGAGUAACGUCUGGGAAACUGCCUGUUGGAGGGGGAUAACUACUGGAAACGGUAGCUAAUACCGCAUACCAUCAUUUUUGCCCAUAUGGGAUUAGCUAGUAGGUGGGGUAAUGGCUCCCCUCGGCGACGAUCCCUAGCUGGUCUGAGAGGAUGACCAGCCACACUGGAACUGAGACACGGUCCAGACUCCUACGGGAGGCAGAAGUGGGGAAUAUUGCACAUGGGGCGCAAGCCUGAGGCAGCAAUGCCGCGUGUGUGAAGAAGGCCUUCGGGUUGUAAAGCACUUUCAGCGAGGAGGCGGUACUCGAAGAAGAAGCACCGGCUAACUACGUGCCAGCAGCCGCGGUAAUAC